ACUCAAAGGAAUAGACGGGGGCCCGCACAAGCGGUGGAGCAUGUGGUUCAAUUCGACGCAACGCGAAGAACCUUACCUGGGCUCGAAGCGCAGUGGAAUCCGGAUGAAAGUUCGGCGCCCGCAAGGGCCGCUGCGGAGGUGCUGCAUGGCUGUCGUCAGCUCGUGUCGUGAGAUGUUGGGUUAAGUCCCGCAACGAGCGCAACCCUUAUCCUUAGUUGCUACUCGCAAGAGGCACUCGAAGGAAACUGUCGGUCAAAAGCCGAAGGAAGGUGGGGAUGACGUCAAGUCCUCAUGGCCGUUAUGUCCAGGGCCACACACGUGCUACAAUGGACGGUACAAAGCGUCGCAAACCCGUGAGGGGGAGCCAAUCGCAAAAAACCGUUCUCAGUUCGGAUUGCAGUCUGCAACUCGACUGCAUGAAGCUGGAAUCGCUAGUAAUCGCGGAUCAGAACGCCGCGGUGAAUACGUUCCCGGGCCUUGUACACACCGCCCGU
rnacentral:rRNA from 1 species